AUUGAACGCUGGCGGCAGGCCUAACACAUGCAAGUCGAACGGUAACAGGCCGCAAGGUGCUGACGAGUGGCGAACGGGUGAGUAAUGCAUCGGAACGUGCCCAGUCGUGGGGGAUAACGCAGCGAAAGCUGCGCUAAUACCGCAUACGAUCUGUGGAUGAAAGCGGGGGACCUUCGGGCCUCGCGCGAUUGGAGCGGCCGAUGUCAGAUUAGGUAGUUGGUGGGGUAAAGGCUCACCAAGCCGACGAUCUGUAGCUGGUCUGAGAGGACGACCAGCCACACUGGGACUGAGACACGGCCCAGACUCCUACGGGAGGCAGCAGUGGGGAAUUUUGGACAAUGGGGGCAACCCUGAUCCAGCAAUGCCGCGUGCAGGAAGAAGGCCUUCGGGUUGUAAACUGCUUUUGUACGGAACGAAAAGGCUCUGGUUAAUACCUGGGGCUCAUGACGGUACCGUAAGAAUAAGCACCGGCUAACUACGUGCCAGCCGCCGCGGUAACAC
rnacentral:rRNA from 1 species